GACAUUUAUACAAUAGCUAAUAUUUGCAGAAUACAAAUGUUAAAGAUUCAUGUUCAACUUCUAUUAUUCAACGGAAUCUUCCUAUCGAUUACAUGAAUAAAAACAGGAUAUAAAAAACAAGUGUAAAUGAGAAUAUCUUUAACUUCUUAUGUAUCAGGAACUUCUUUAAAUCCAGCUUGGGCGUAAGGUACACACGAUACCAUCCAUUAUUCACCACGCAAAAUGAUAACACAGUGUAGUCUAUAAGCUCUAAUCUAAGUUAAUGACCUCUAUUUGUUAAAACAUAAAGCACUAUUUUAAGUUAUGUGAUGAGGAAAUCAAUACUUUGGAAUAUUCCCUUUGUACUUAUUAUUCUAUGGAUUUUAAUUUACAAUUCAAGAAUUCAGCGAAAAACGAUCACCAAUGUCGCGUCCGUUUUAAAUAUUUCACCAGAAUCAAAAAAACAAUUUGGAACAAAAUUUAAAAUACUUAACAGAAGUCGGGAAGUCAUACGAUACAACGGAAGACGUAUCACAACAGAGUUUGAACUCUUUUAUCUCAACGUAUCAACAAAAAUGCUGAUGGACCCUCUAAUUCACAAACAUCGAUAUACUUCGUUACUUGAUACGGGAACAACGACGUGUACUGAAAAACAUGUAUUUUUGUUAGUUCUUGUAUAUUCAGCAACAUACAAAUUUGAAGAACGUCAUGUUAUAAGAAAAACAUUUGGAUCUGUUUCAAAAUAUGACAAUAAACAUAUUAAAUAUGUCUUCGUACUUGGACAAACCAUGAAUGAUACUCAACAAAAAGAAAUUGAACAGGAAAGUGUCAAAUACAGAGACAUAAUACAAGGAAUUUUAUAGACAGCUACAGAAAUUUAACAUAUAAACGAGUAUUUAGCUUGUUCUGGGUGAAUAGAUUCUGUAACAAUGUGACUUUUGUCAUAAAAAGUGACGAUGAUAUUACUAUUAACAUACCAUUUCUUAUUCCUUAUCUGAGCAAUAAACUGAACAAAACUAAGGUUUUAGAAUGUUUGUAUCUUAUAGGUAUAAAACCGUACCGUAAACCUCGUAAUAAAUGGCACACGACUCUUUCUGAAUAUCCCUUUGCAACGUUUCCUCCUUAUUGUGCAGGACCUUCCUCCAUUAUGUCAGCUGAUGUUAUCAGAGAAAUGUAUGAAGCGACCACCCUUGUGCCUUUUAUUUGGCUAGAAGAUGUCUAUGGUGGUGGAUUUCUACCCUGGAUUUCACGUAUACAUAUAGUUCAUCCGAAAUGUUAUAGAAAAGAUUUGGGAGCAAGUUUGAAAGACAAGCCAUGCCAUUUAUUUUACAUCAAUAAUAUUAAAAAUGCAAGUCAUCCUUAUAUUAUGUGGAAAACUAUUGAAAAUUAUACACAAAACCAUUUGUGUAAAUGCAAGUAAGAUAUUUUUGUGAUCACCUGUUAAACUAAUCUAAACUAAAAUGUUAUUAAUUGUUGGAAAUUUGUAUUAAGAAUUAGCAGAUAAAACAGUUUAAAUCGUUUAUAAUCUUACCAUAUAGUUCACAGAUGAACAUACAUUUCGUAGAGUGAACCAGACAAUGUUCAGGGUUUAAAUCGUUUAAAAAUAAAAUUUUGUCAGUCUAAUUUGAAGACUAGCUUAUUGUCAAUUUAUCACACAAUUAGAUAGAAAGGGAAAAAUACAAGAAUUAUCUGCUUUUGCAAUAAAUAUUUUCCUUUUUAGUUUAUUGGCACUUCAUAUUUAACAAGUUCUGAAUUUUCAAAUAUGUUGGCACCACUGAAGAGACAUAUAUUAUCGAAAUGCGUUAAUGCUAUUUGACAAAUGACAAUUACCGACAAAAAUGUUUUCAUAUGUGAAUUUACAUUUUGAACUGCAUUCAUCAUUUAAUGAUAAUUUCUUUAGACGAU
rnacentral:lncRNA from 1 species